AGUGAACGCUGGCGGUAGGCCUAACACAUGCAAGUCGAACGGCAGCACAGUAAGAGCUUGCUCUUACGGGUGGCGAGUGGCGGACGGGUGAGGAAUACAUCGGAAUCUACUUUUUCGUGGGGGAUAACGUAGGGAAACUUACGCUAAUACCGCAUACGACCUACGGGUGAAAGCAGGGGAUCUUCGGACCUUGCGCGAUUGGAUGAGCCGAUGUCGGAUUAGCUAGUUGGCGGGGUAAAGGCCCACCAAGGCGACGAUCCGUAGCUGGUCUGAGAGGAUGAUCAGCGACACUGGAACUGAGACACGGUCCAGACUCCUACUGGAGGCAGCAGUGGGGAAUAUUGGACAAUGGGCGCAAGCCUGAUCCAGCCAUACCGCGUGGGUGAAGAAGGCCUUCGGGUUGUAAAGCCCUUUUGUUGGGAAAGAAAAGCAGCAGGUUAAUACCCCGCUGUUCUGACGGUACCCAAAGGAUAAGCACCGGCUAACUUCGUG
rnacentral:rRNA from 1 species